rnacentral:snoRNA from 1 species
ACGUCUCUUACCUCGCUCGAUCUGCAUUUCUGGACCAUUGCUUGAUCUUGAGCUGGAUGCUGCCUGCUGUCCCCCUCCGCCCUCCCUGGGCGGAGGGCCGCGCAUGCACGCACGAGACAAGAACAACCUUGCCGAUCUUUGAGUACGAUUCCAUCUUCCCAACGUGGGCGUCAGUGGUGGGCUAUUGUAAUUUAUGCGGCAGGACAC